GAUGAACGCUGGCGGCGUGCCUAAUACAUGCAAGUCGAGCGAACAGAUGAGGAGCUUGCUCCUCUGACGUUAGCGGCGGACGGGUGAGUAACACGUGGAUAACCUACCUAUAAGACUGGGAUAACUUCGGGAAACCGGAGCUAAUACCGGAUAAUAUAUUGAACCGCAUGGUUCAAUAGUGAAAGACGGUUUUGCUGUCACUUAUAGAUGGAUCCGCGCCGCAUUAGCUAGUUGGUAAGGUAACGGCUUACCAAGGCAACGAUGCGUAGCCGACCUGGGAGGGUGAUCGGCCACACUGGAACUGAGACACGGUCCAGACUCCUACGGGAGGCAGCAGUAGGGAAUCUUCCGCAAUGGGCGAAAGCCUGACGGAGCAACGCCGCGUGAGUGAUGAAGGUCUUCGGAUCGUAAAACUCUGUUAUUAGGGAAGAACAAAUGUGUAAGUAACUAUGCACGUCUUGACGGUACCUAAUCAGAAAGCCACGGCUAACUACGU
rnacentral:rRNA from 1 species